rnacentral:tRNA from 1 species
UCCCUAGUGGCUCAGACGGUAAAGCGUCUGCCUACAAUGUGGGAGACCCAGGUUCUAUCCCUGGGUUGGGAA